GAUGAACGCUAGCGACAGGCUUAACACAUGCAAGUCGAGGGGCAGCAUAAAAGUAGCAAUACUUUGGUGGCGACCGGCGCACGGGUGAGUAACGCGUAUGCAACCUACCUAUCAGAGGGGAAUAACCCGGCGAAAGUCGGGCUAAUACCGCAUAAAACAGGGGCACCGCAUGGUGAUAUUUGUUAAAGAGAUUCGCUGAUAGAUGGGCAUGCGUUCCAUUAGGUAGUUGGUGAGGUAACGGCUCACCAAGCCGACGAUGGAUAGGGGAACUGGGAGGUUGGUCCCCCACACUGGUACUGAGACAUGGACCAGACUCCUAGAGGAGGAAGCAGGGAGGAAUAUUGGUAAAUGGGCGAGAGCCUGAACCAGCCAAGUCGCGUGAAGGAAGAAGGAUCUAUGGUUCGUAAACUUCUUUUGCAGGGGAAUAAAGUGCAGGACGUGUCCUGUUUUGUAUGUACCCUGAGAAUAAGGAUCGGCUAACUCCGUGCCAGCCGCCGCGGUAA
rnacentral:rRNA from 1 species